ACGAGGCGGAGGACUGAGGAGGAAGAGAGAAAGACGGAGAGGAGUUGAGAAGGAGGUAGACUUCGGGUGCGAACGGUCUACUCUAACGCAGUAAUGCCGACCAGCUCCAACCGGGUGCCGCCAAAUCGAACCCUGGUUCGAAUUCCGCACGGCCGUGGCCGCGGAAAGAAACAAAAGAAGGAGGAAGAGGAGGAGGAGGAGGAGGAGGACGAGGAGGAGGACAGGAAGAGGAGGAGAGGAUAACGAUAACGAAGACAACGGCAACGACGACGACGACGACGACGACGGGGAACGUGAAUAAAAAGAAGUCACGACAGUGGAAGAGGAAGAAGAAGAAAAAGGAAGUAGCAGUGCAUAGUUACGUAUGCCCAUUACGGAGGACAAACAAAACGGAAGUUUCAGCUCCAUUUCAAACAAUACAGCGAUGUAAAUAUAAUAGGAACAGAAAUAAUCAUCUUCAAUAAUCAGGUCAAAGAAUGUGCAGAAUUCAUAGAAGAAAAACGCUACAAAAUUUAAGAAGUCGACUAAUCAUUGAAAUUACAUACUUCGAUCUCCGCAACCGUUUCGAGCCUUUCCUUCAAACUCCGAAGCAUUUUUCAAGGACCAACGAAUCUUCAAGUAACAGAGGCAUUACGCAUCAUCAUAUAUAGAUAAUCGCUUCACACACUGCGAGACAUUACGUAUCGCAACUGCUCAUCGUUCUCGCGAGAACAACUUUUCCGCGACUACACGGACGCGUCCCACCGGAUAGGAAAGAGACUAGAUACUGUGAUAGAAGCUAGAAGUUCAAGCUGCAACUUUAAGUCCCUCGUGAAUAAUCGCUGGCGAUUUCCUAGGGGCGAAAAUCUCUACAUUCAUAACGGUGCGCGGUAUUCAACCGAUGACUGCCACAGCCGGCCGAAAGAUUGCAGAAAAUCCACCCGAGCGACGAGAUAAAUUCCCUCGCGUGUACCUCGUGGACGUGCAAAACAAAUUUAAAAAAGAAAGAAGAAUAGAACGAACGAGUAAGAGAAAGAGGGAGAAGUAAAAGAAAAACACAAGAACGGGCGCUUAAAAGUAAGAGAGGUGGUCGCCUGAGCACGCUGAUAAACGCUGAAUAAUGGGGACGCAAAUUACGUGCGAGGAAUACUGCGUGAGAAAUGAGUGCCCGAUGCAAAUUCCGCUGGCCGCUAGGACGAUGCAGCGACCGGUGCUGCCGGAUACUGUAACUCCAUUUAAACGAUUCACUACGACCACGUGGACCGAGGAUAGGCUCACGAAACGAACCGGCAGUCCAUCGUCGUCUCCGUGACGAUCUGAGAGAGGAUGUACGUAAUCCCCGGAGGAAUUAACCAAUUAGUACUGGCAGUAGAGGAUUUGCGCUAAGUUAAUACAACGACGAGUGUCAACACAACGGAGAUCGUAGAUAGAUUACGUUACUCGCCAGCAACGAUAGCUCUCGACUCCGUUCUCGCAAUAUGGACCAAGGUACGUAAUCCGCAGGAUACUACAACGCGUUAUAGCCUUCAUGAAGCAUACGCGAAAUUUUCGACGGAUUACUCCUCGACAACUCAAUGGCUUUUAACCUUGGUUUCACGAUGCAACAGCGUGGCGAUAUUAAGUCUGUAUAGACUACAUGAUAUCACGAGUCAGUGUACAAACUUUGCAGUACUACAAACCAGCAUGCACAGUCUUCACAAUAGGGAGUGACUCGGCAAGUAGAGUACCUGUUCGGUCCCUCCGGCAUCAAUUACACUUCGCUUCCCGGAUUUGUUCCCGGGAUUGACGCAGGCAGACUCCUCGCCGACGAAGUGACUGUGCGAUUAU